UUUGCGGCGGCCAUGGCCCAGGAGAGACGCCCGGUCCCAUUCCGAACCCGGAAGCUAAGGCCUGGCACGGCGAUGGUACUGCACCCGACAGGGUGUGGGAGAGUAGCACGCCGCCGCAUC
rnacentral:rRNA from 1 species